rnacentral:misc_RNA from 1 species
GAUGAAGAACGCAGCGAAAUGCGAUAAGUAAUGUGAAUUGCAGAAUUCAGUGAAUCAUCGAAUCUUUGAACGCACAUUGCGCCCCCUGGUAUUCCGGGGGGCAUGCCUGUUCGAGCGUCAUUUCACCACUCAAGCCUCGCUCGGUAUUGGGCAACGCGGUCCGCCGCGUGCCUCAAAUCGGCCGGCUGGGUCUUCUGUCCCCUAAGCGUUGUGGAAACUAUUCGCUAAAGGGUGUUCGGGAGGCUACGCCGUAAAACACCCCCAUUUCUAAGGUUGACCUCGGAUCAGGUAGGGAUACCCGCUGAACUUAAGCAUAUCAAUAAGCGGAGGA